rnacentral:rRNA from 1 species
AUUGUCGAGACCGAAUAUAUCGAGCGAUUCAGAGAACCCGUGAACGAGCGAUGGCACUCGCCGUCGCGUACAUUCGUCCCUGUUGUGGGCCUCAUUGUGACCAUGAUGGGGGCGGAUAAAACUCAAACCGGCGCAGCCACGCGCCAAGGCAAUGCAAAUAUACACGAGCCCGCAUCGGGUUUGGUGGCGUGGAGUGCUUUUGCACACCACACGGAUCAAAAUGACUCUCGGCAAUGGAUAUCUCGGCUCUCGCAUCGAUGAAGAGCGCAGCGAAAUGCGAUACGUGGUGCGAAUUGCAGAAUCCCGCGAACCAUCGAGAAUUUGAACGCAAGUUGCGCCCGAGGCCAGCCGGCCAAGGGCACGUCCGCCUGGGCGUCAAGCGUUGCGUCGCUCCGUGCUAGCUCCAUCACGCCCGACGCGUGUGCAUGGAGACGGUCGGAUGUGCAGAGUGGCUCGUCGUUCCCACGGGUGCGACGGGCUGAAGAGCGGGUGAUCGUCUCGUUGGCCACGAACAACAAGGGGUGGAUGAAAAUUGUGCCUGUGUUGUAUCGUGUUAACAUGAGAAGAGAUAUACCCUGCGGAUGAUCCCA